GUGAGUGAGUGUGAGCGUGUGUGUGAGCGUGUCCCCGUCCUGCAGCCUCCAGGGCUCUUCCCUGGCCUCACCCCGCCCCCCGCGCUCCCUUCCCGCCCGGCACCGUCUGCGAACGUUUCCGAGAAGUCCCUGUGGCGGUUUGGUGGGAAGCGGGGGGAGGGCCCCAGGCCCGAGGGCACAGGCCGGGCCGGGGUCUGCGGGGCCCGGAGGAUUCGGGCUGCGAAUCGGUUCCUUCUCCCAGGCUUUGCCCAAGGAGACCGGAGAGGUGUGCGGAGGAGUCAGUGGCCGCGGCUGCAGGGGGAGACGUAGGUAGGGGAGAGGCUGCCUUCGCAGACCUGGACCCGCGCGUCUGGAUCCAUCGUCGGUCAUAGAGGUUCCAAGUUUAGAGCUGGGCUCUCCACUGAAGGGUGAGCUUGGCCACUUGAGAUAAUUCUUAAUGCCACAUCACAGCCACCUCAUCUUCUCUUCCGUGAUUGGUCGCGUAGAAGAGUUCAACUGUACUAAGAUUCUUUUCUUGCAGAAGCCUUAGACUAGACUAGGUUAGCCAAUAUAUGAAACAUUUGUGUGUAGACAUUAGGCAACAUGAUACAGAAGACUGAUCACUGAGAGAAAGGACGUAAACAAGCUUACCAGGCAUGCAAAGAAGCAGGAAAAUAUGAGCCAUAGUCAGCAGAAAAGUCAAUCAACAGGAACUGAGCCAGAAACAGCAAAGAUGAUAGAAUUAACAGUUGAUGACAUUAGGUUCCAUAUUAUAAGUGUGCUCUACAUGCUCAAGACCCUAGAGAAAAAUCUGAACAUCAUGAAGAGAGAAAUAGAAGAUAUUAAAACAACAAAUUGGAACUUCUACAUAUGAAAGUAAUUGUUAAAGCAAAGAUGGGAAUGGAACAUUUGAGAAAGAAGAAACUGUUAAAAAAAAAAAAAAAAAAGACAGCAGACCUAAAAUGGAGUCACUUGUGCUAAAGCCCAGGUGAAAACACUAACUAAUGUGAGAGAUUAAACAACUUGUCCAAGGCUACACAGCUAAUAUGUGGCAGAACCAAGAUGUCAGCCUAAGCAAUCAGGAUCUGGAGCCCGUGUGUUAAGCAACAAGCUGUAUUACUUCCAUAGGAAGUGGCUAUUCUAUGUCUGUCAAUAUAAACAUUCAGAAGACAUUGGCCAGGCUACCCUACAAUUAUGAAUUAAAAAUUAAAUUUGGUAAAUGCAGGUGAACAAUAUAAAUGUAAGGAAUCCAUAUUUGGUAGCAAAACCCAAAGAAGAGAACAAAGAUUUGAUGUAUCACAGUAACUUAUAGCAGAUGAUGUGGUGUGUUACCCAUCCCAAUUCAGGAACAAUGGAUUCAUUCCUUAAGUUAGAGGGAGUUUUCUUUGAUUCCUUUAUCUCAGAAGAAAGUCUGUAUUGCAUUGGAAUAUUGAGAAAAGUGAGUCAAUCUCUGUAUGAGAGAAGAAACCCUAGAAAUCUGAGGCAAUAUUUCUGACUUUGCCUUGACAGUUUGAGAAUAAAAGGGUUAGAGACCUGGUAAUGAAUGGACUAAUUGUUAGAACUGUGAGGGGUAUGGAGACUGCAGAGCAUUCCAGGACAGCUAGAUGUCCGCUUGCAAUGAGGCUAUUGGCUGGAUGCACUGAUCCCCAACACAGAGAAGUCCGAAGUUGAGGACUGGUGAAAACUCCUCAUGGACUUGUACCAACCAUGGACAACAUUGACAGCCUCUUGUCUGGAGAUAGACUGUAGUAUGAUAAAAGCACAGAGUGCACCCCAAAUCGAAUGAUGCACAAGAGAUCUGGACUUAAUAAGCACAGAUAACUUGAACUCCAGAUGCUUGUCCGAGAAUUUAUAACAUUUUUUGCUUCAAUACUGUUGUUGAAAAAAAAGGAUAUUGUCUGAAGAUUCAACCAUCCCUAUGUACUUCUGAUUUCUGGACAGCCCCCUAAAAAGACAUAUAUCUGAACCAGGCCAUCAGUGAACUGUAAACUGGCACCCAAUUGAUGUAAAUUGUUUUCCUGACCUCUUAGGCCAUUAACCCACAUUAAUAGAUAUUAUCAUAAGCAUCAGUCUCCGGGGACCUGGAGAAGGAAGAGGAUGGCGACAGAAGGCUGAAAUGAUGGCCACUGGCUAAUUGUAGCUUUUAAUGAUCUAACCCUACAGGUUUUUGGAAGUCUUCCAUAUUAUACAUAUUUGAAAAAUGAUCUGUAUCACCAAGCUGGGUUGGCAAGGACACUGUAGUUCUCAGGAAUUAAAAACAUAAUCACUGCAUUUUGACUGAUUU